rnacentral:lncRNA from 1 species
AACUGUGGGCUGCUAUGCUACGCAGGAGUAGUAGGUAGGCACGCGAGGUGAUGAUGCAUGGUAUGUUACGUGCUCAUGACAAGGACCACACGUACCUUCACACACUUGUGGUUGCUUCCCUUUACCACUAAAAAUUGACGCGACGACAAUGACUAGUGUGUAAAUAAAACAACGCAGGGCAUACAUUUUCUCCAUCAAGGUUUCUUUCACCUUGCUUCCCCCCAAGCGAGUAAUCUUCGUUGCAAAAAUCCAUUCAAAAUGGUAUUUCAUACAUGUUCGAUCACCGGUUCUUUCAUUGACUUUCUAAUCUAAACACACGAUUGGCAACUGCUCCCUCCACCCUAAAUUAUAUUCGUUUUAGCUUUUAUAGAUAUAUCUAGCUUGUGAGAUCAUCAGGUCACAGUGCAAAAGCACCUCGAGGAAGGAGAACUCUGUGUUGCUCUGCUGCUC